UAAGUAAGCGGAGGAUAAGAAACUAAAUAGGAUUCCCUCAGUAAUGGCGAAUGAACAGGGAUAAGCUCAGCAUGGAAAUUGGGGCCUCCGGCCUUGAAUUGUAGUCUUGAGAUGUGUUACCAACGGAGGCGCAGAUGUAAGCCUCUUGGAAAAGAGCGUCAGGGAGGGUGAGAGUCCCGUAUGUCAUCUGCAGUUCUCUGUGCACGGUACAUUUUCUAAGAGUCACGUUCCUCGGGAUUGGAGCGCAAAUUGGGUGGUAAAUUUCAUCUAAAGCUAAAUAUUGGUUCGAGACCGAUAGCAAACAAGUACCAUGAGGGAAAGGUGAAAAGGACUUUGAAAAGAGAGUUAAAAGUGCCUGAAAUUGCUGAAAGGGAAGCGAAUGGAACCAGUUGUUCUUGGCGAGUAUUGGUGUUGUCUAAGGUGAUAGCUUGCCACUUCAACGCAAGUGUGGUGGCAGGUUUUGAUCUGGAUGCGAUACUGCUUCUCGCCUUGCGUGUCAACGUCAGUUCAUAAUUGAGGAAAACUCUAGGGACAUGGUAAUUUGCUUCCGGGCGACUGAAUGUCCCCAGUUGAACUCAUUUUUGAACUGCUCACUGUGUGUCUGGUCGCACUGCUCCGUGUGCUUGCUUGCAAUCUUCUGCUUGGCAUGAAGGUUGCUAGUGCCAGGAGCAUGUCCUUGACAUAAGAACGAUGACGAAAUGGUUUUAUUCGACCCG
rnacentral:rRNA from 1 species